CGCGGCCUAUCAGCUUGUUGGUGGGGUAAUGGCCUACCAAGGCGACGACGGGUAGCCGGCCUGAGAGGGCGACCGGCCACACUGGGACUGAGACACGGCCCAGACUCCUACGGGAGGCAGCAGUGGGGAAUAUUGCACAAUGGGCGGAAGCCUGAUGCAGCGGCGCCGCGUGAGGGAUGACGGCCUUCGGGUUGUAAACCUCUUUCAGCAGGGAAGAAGCGAAAGUGACGGUACCUGCAGAAGAAGCGCCGGCUAACUACGUGCCAGCAGCCGCGGUAAUACGUAGGGUGCAAGCGUUGUCCGGAAUUAUUGGGCGUAAAGAGCUCGUAGGUGGCGGGUCACGUCGGGUGUGAAAGCCCGGGGCUUAACCCCGGGUCUGCAUUCGAUACGGGCUUGCUAGGGUCCGGCAGGGGAGACUGGAAUUCCUGGUGUAGCGGUGAAAUGCGUAGAUAUCAGGAGGAACACCGGUGGCGAAGGCGGGUCUCUGGGCCGGUACCGACGCUGAGGGGCGAAAGCGUGGGGAGCGAACAGGAUUAGAUACCCUGGUAGUCCACGCCGUAAACGUUGGGCGCUAGGUGUGGGGAGCAUUCCACGUUCUCUGUGCCGUAGCUAACGCAUUAAGCGCCCCGCC
rnacentral:rRNA from 1 species